rnacentral:misc_RNA from 1 species
GAUGAAGAACGCAGCGAAAUGCGAUAAGUCAUGUGAAUUGCAGAAUUCAGUGAAUCAUCGAAUCUUUGAACGCACAUUGCGCCCGCCAGUAUUCUGGCGGGCAUGCCUGUCUGAGCGUCAUUUCAACCCUCAAGCAACUUCUGCUUGGUGUUGGGGAUCGGCCGUCAAACGCCGCCCCCGAAAUCUAUUGGCGAUCUCGCUGUAGCUUCCUAUGCGUAGUAGUAACAUCUCGCAUCUGGAGAGCGGCGCGGUCAUGCCGUAAAACACCCAACUUCUCAGGUUGACCUCAGAUCAGGUAGGAAUACCCGCUGAACUUAAGCAUAUCAAUAAGCGGAGGA